rnacentral:lncRNA from 12 species
GGGGAGGCCUGCUCCGGUCCUGGGGCCCGGGGCCCAGUGGGAGGAAAGGUGGGCAGGCUGCGCGCUCGCGGCUGGCUCUCGGAGGGCGCACGGGGCCUCGGGGGUCUCUAGGCUGCAGCGGGGGCUCCUGCGCGGCGGGCUGGCCGGGACCAGAUCAGGACAGAUGGCGCCGUCUCUGUGGUGACACCGUCCUGCGGCCGGAAACACAGACGCAUGAAGAGAUGGUGCCAACCGAGGAGAGAGGAUCAAGCACGCACGAGGCCAGGAUACACAUCUUCUGGGGCCUCCAGAGAGUUGGAAACCACAUCCGUACCUUGGCUUCUACACGAGGGGAACUGCCCAGCGCUGGAGGACGCCUGGGCUCCACCACCUGCCUCCGCUUCCUCCCAGCAGCCUCCGCUUAACGUGGCAGGAUCUGGGCUCUCCUCCCGGCCUGUCCACAUGCGCCGGCCCGGCCCUCCUCACUCCGCGUCCUGUUCCUCUGCAGGAUCCAGCCCCCCCUGCCCCCCAAAGCACAGCAGGCCCUCGGUGCACACGGGGUGCCGCGCACAGCCCUGGCGCCUGGUCUUCCUGUGCGGGUCCUCACCAGGCUGCCCCCCCCCAGCCCACCCGUCCGUCUGUCCCUCACGCGGGCUGCCUUCCUCUGCCAGCAGCAAGUCCAGAAAGGGUCAGAGAGGGAAUCUGCUCAGGACAGGGACAUCUGAUCCCAGAGGCUGGAGUCCCGGAGAGCAUGCUCCAGAAUGUGGCCUCAGUUUCCCCCCCUCUAGGCCAGGGAGCCGUGCUAGGUUGGGCAGGUGAAGUGCUGAGUUUCUGGCUCUGGCUCCCGCCGCCGCGCAGGGACCCUGAGCUAAUUUCCGGCCCCGGGACAUGGCCUUGCUGGGCUGGGCAAGGGGAGGCUGUUGCUCAGCGGCUGUCACCCGCCAGAGGCCAAGGUCCGAGAGGCCCGGUGGGCACCGCGGGGGCGGCGACGGCGGUGCCCCGGGAGAGGGCCACGGAGCACAGACCGGCAGGGACUCAGCUGCGGGAGUUGGGUCGAGGAGGGAAGGGGCAGGUUAUCAAGGUCGGGCAUGGAAGGAAGCUCCGGUCCCCGCAGCCCCAGGCGCUGAACGGCAGCCACGGCCCUGUGCUCCUCAGGGUCCCCUGAGCUCCUCCCGGCCCAAAGGGGAGCCGGGGACACGGGUCAGGGGCUGGGAAGGGCCCAGUGGGAAGGGCAGGGCUCCGGCGCACGCUCAGAGGCGUCUUGCCAUCACCACCCCUCGGGAUGGGCCUCGCCCUGUCUCUUUUCUGCUUGAGGCUUGUCCUUCCCCAGAUACCAGGAGUCACGAAAUUCCCCUCGUCUUUCCCUGUGGUUCCCCAGGGUGCCCCGGGGUCCCUCUGAGGUCAUCCGUCGCAGGCACGGCGUAAAGGCCUGCCCGGAGCAGUGACGGCAUCCACCGGGGAUCCGACAUCGUGCCCACCUCAGACCCCGCUCCCUGCCAUUUCGGACCCUGGCGCAGACCUCCGGGGGCCUUCGGACCGCAGUGACCAUGAAGAGACGCGGCUACGUGUCAUUUCAUUGCGGAAACUGCAGCCGAGUCCCGUGUGAGCAACACCCACCCAUCGCCCGUCCGAACGGGGCCUGCAGGCAGGAGCCCUGACAGCCCGGUCACCGCACCGCCGGCCCAGGUGCCGACACAGGAGCGAAGAGCAUGGAUCCCGUGCCAGCCGGGGCAGCAGGAGCGAGGGCCUCAUGUGCGGCCUGGGGGGCACAUGCGCUAGGCCCCGGCGUCUGCUGCCCGGGGUGCUGGGCAGGACGGUGGGGGGGCAGGAUGGCAGCAAGCCCCUGUGGCAGGCUUGAGCCUGUGCGCUAGAGGGGAAGCCCUGGGGAGCCCCGGCGGGGUUCACACAAGGGAGGACAAGGUUCGGUUUGUUCUGUGGAAGGACUGAUGGCCCCAGGGGCGCCGGGUGGCAUAGGUGAGGGGGGAAGACCGAGGCACGGGCCCAGGGGGGACACGGGCCUGGGGAGGCUGCCCUGGUGUGGGGGGCAGACGCAGAGCCCACACACAGCAGCACCGACUGACAUGCCUGCAUGGCUCACUUAUAAUUCUUUCAGCUUCCGGGACCCUCAACAACGACUCCCCUUGUCCCAUUUUCUGGACGAUGUCCCUGCCUGUCCCCCACCCCCCAACCACAGGAGAGAAUCAGGGACCCACAACACCGGACUGGGCCUCUCUGUACGGAGUUGGCAUCAGGAGAGUCGGGGGGGGUGCGUUGAGUUUAAGAAAUGCUCAGCCUUGGGGCACCCGGGGGGCUCAGUCGGUGAAGCAUCCGCCCCCUGCUCAGGGCAUGAUCUCAGGGGCCUGGGAUCGAGCCCCACAUUGGGUUCCUUGCUCAGGGGGGAGCCUGCCUUUCCCUUUCCCUCUGCCUUGCUCCCCAGCCCCGUGCUCGCUCACUCUCUCUCAUAAAUAAAUAAAUAAAUAAAUAAAUAAAUAAAUAAAUA